UUAUGAAUUGAGGCUUUAUUGUAUGGAGGACGUUGACUCUCAUCUCCCGUCUGAUCUGGUUUUCUCUCACAACGAAGACUUCUCUCUCUCUCUCUCUCUCUCUCUCUCUCACACACACACACACAUCUCAAAUCUUCUCCAUUUCAAAUGCAAAUUUUCAUUUUCUAAAAAAUCCCCAAAUUCAAAACCCUAACCCAAAACCCCCAAAUCUUUCAAUACCAUCCUCACUGAACUCAGCCCUGUGGAGAACAGCAACAAUCCCAUCAGCACCAGCUAUUUCUCAGAUGAUAGACCAACAUACACAAAACAAUGAACAAGCAGGAAUCCGGCAAUCUACUGAAACUAUUUGGCAAAUUCCUCGGCAACGACUACUAUCUUCUUUGGUGUCUAUAGUUGCCGAAGCAAAGCAUGUUGCAGAUGGGUUGUCCAUGGUGAAGUCAUUUUUGAAUCCUCUAACUACAACUUGCAAAUCUCCAUCAUGGCCACCGAUAAAUUCACUCAUUAUUGAGAACUGAUUGUCAAGCCAAACAAAGAAUUGGAGAGGAAGAGAAGACAAAACAAGAGGUGCUGACUUUGUUUUUUUUCAGUUGCUAGAGAAUAGAAUAUAGAGGACAAGUUUGUUUAUGUGUAUAUAUAAAUAUUGGA